CUCCUACGGGAGGCAGCAGUAGGGAAUAUUGGGCAAUGGGCGAGAGCUGGACCCAGCAACGCCGCGUGAGUGAAGAAGGCUUUCGGGUUGUAAAGCUCUGUCCUGGGGGACGAAGGAAGUGACGGUACCCCGGGAGGAAGCCCCGGCUAACUACGUGCCAGCAGCCGCGGUAAUACGUAGGGGGGGAGCGUUGUCCGGAAUGACUGGGCGUAAAGGGCGUGUAGGCGGCCGAUUAAGUAUGGAGUGAAAGUCCUGCUUUCAAGGUGGGAAUUGCUUUGUAGACUGGUUGGCUUGAGUGCGGAAGAGGUAAGUGGAAUUCCCAGUGUAGCGGUGAAAUGCGUAGAGAUUGGGAGGAACACCAGUGGCGAAGGCGACUUACUGGGCCGUAACUGACGCUGAGGCGCGAAAGCGUGGGGAGCGAACAGGAUUAGAUACCCUGGUAGUCCACGCUGUAAACGAUGAAUGCGAGGUGUUGCGGGUAUCGACCCCUGCAGUGCCGGAGUAAACGCAAUAAGCAUUCCGCCUGGGGAGUACGGCCGCAAGGUUGAAACUCAAAGGAAUUGACGGGGGCCCGCACAAGCAGCGGAGCAUGUUGUUUAAUUCGAUGCAACGCGAAGAACCUUACCAUGUCUUGACAUCGAGGUAAACUUGUAGAAAUACAGGGUGGAUUCGUCCGACCGAAGACAGGUGGUGCAUGGUUGUCGUCAGCUCGUGUCGUGAGAUGUUGGGUUAAGUCCCGCAACGAGCGCAACCCUUAUGGUCAGUUACUCACGGGUAAAGCCGAGGACUCUGACAAGACUGCCGGGGACAACUCGGAGGAAGGUGGGGACGACGUCAAAUCAUCAUGCCCCUUAUGACAUGGGCUACAAACGUGCUACAAUGGUGGUUACAAAGAGGAGCGAGCAUGUAAAUGUAAGCGGAUCUCAAAAAAGCCAUCUCAGUUCGGAUUGUGCGCUGCAACCCGCCCACAUGAAGUUGGAGUUGCUAGUAAUCGCGGAUCAGAAUGCCGCGGUGAAUACGUUCCCGGGCCUUGUACACACCGC
rnacentral:rRNA from 1 species